rnacentral:tRNA from 1 species
GAGGUUGUAGCUCAAUGGUGGAGCACUUGCUUCGCAUGUGUGAGGUGCUGGGUUCAAUCCUCAGCACCACA